GAGGUUAUUUGUUUUUCAAAUGUUGUACUUGUGUUUUCCAGGUUUACUCGUUCAGCUGCUGCAGCCUGGACAGAAACAGCAGCUCCCACCUUACAGACCAAACAGGUGUCACCACUUCAUUCACAAUCACAGAGACGUCAUCCAUGAUCACAGUCUUCGUACAAUAAAGUAGUUCUUUGAGACCAGGACAGAGGCCUCCAGAAUUCAAACUUGAACCAUUAAAUCACAGAGAAGAGACAGACGUGAAGACAUUUCCAGAAGGUCUUCAGCUGCUGUCGUCUUCUCCUCCUGCAGAGACAAGAACAUGUGUUAAUCACAGAAACUGAUCAGUAAUUCAAAAUAUUUUCAUGACAUACUAUUCUGACAUUUAAAAAAAACUUUUUUUGUCAGAUUUUGAUGUCUUACUGUACUAUGACAUGUGGCUUAAGACAAACCUUACCUUUGUUUUCCACUGACACAUUGUGGGUUAGGUUAGAUUUUCAUUUUGAUAUUUUGCUAUUUUGAACAGUGCAAUAUCUCAUACAAAAAUAUACUCAAAUACAAUAUAUUAUUGUGAACAUAGUCUUUUUUAUAAUAUUCAUAUUGUGUUUAAUGUUUAUAUAUUGUUGUAUGUAUAUAUAUAAUGCCCUUUUCUAUUUUUGCUGUUGCAACCCUGAAUUUUCACACUGUGGGACUGAUAAAGGAUUUUCUUUACUCAAAUAAAUACUUCUGAACACAGAAUAUUUUGCCAGUCUGUUUGAU